ensembl:lncRNA
GGGAGACCUGAGACGGGGGACCUGGGGUUAGGACUUGGGAGGAUCUGAGAGGAGUGACCUGAGGUGGGACCUAAGGAGGGACUUGAGGAGGGGACCUGAAAGAUUCGGGCGGACGGUCUCGCUCACCAGUGCCGCCGUGGGGGGAGGGGGGAUGCCCGGCCGCCUCAAAGGUCACCUGCCAUAACUUAACAGGAGCCUGAGAAGCCAGGCCAAGGGAACACCUGAGCUUGACAGGUGACAACGCCACCUCCGUUCCGGCCACGCCUCCACAGAGGACGCCGCCACCGCCCAGCUCCAAGAUGGCUGCGUCACGCAGAACAGCGCCCUGCAGAAGCCCCGCCCCUCGCCCGGGGGCAGGUCCCCUGCGCGCCCCGCCCCCUCCACGCUUAGACCCGGAAGUGAUCUCCCGAGGCUGCAGUGGGCUUUGAGCGCCGCGGGCUGUGGAAGAGCGUUGACGGCGGGGAUCACGGAGCAGCGGAGAUGCCCGGAGCCUGCUGCCGGGCCUUCCCUCGCGGUGCCGCUCGGUACUGUCUUCACGAUAAACACCGCACGUUAACACUAGUAAGAGCGCCGGAAACUUGUUUCGCUUAAGUUCUUUAGCUAAACGCCGUCAGCCUCUGUCCUAGGAAACCUCGUCUUCUGAUAGCGGCGUCUGUCGCGAGUUCCCUG